rnacentral:rRNA from 1 species
UGUAGAGUGCUAUUUUUUAGAGAUAGAAAUUCCCUUCGGGGCUUUCUGCAAGGUGCUGCAUGGUUGUCGUCAGCUCGUGCCGUGAGGUGUCGGGUUAAGUCCCAUAACGAGCGCAACCCUUAUCGUUAGUUGCCAUCUGGUAAUGCAGGGGACUCUAGCGAAACUGCCACCGUAAGGUGAGAGGAAGGUGGGGAUGACGUCAAAUCAGCACGGCCCUUAUGUCCAGGGCUACACACGUGUUACAAUGGUCGGUACAGAGGGCAGCUACCUGGUGACAGGAUGCUAAUCUCGAAAACCGGUCUCAGUUCGGAUCGAAGUCUGCAACUCGACUUCGUGAAGCUGGAUUCGCUAGUAAUCGCGCAUCAGCUAUGGCGCGGUGAAUACGUUCCCGGGCCUU